UUGAAUUUGUUUGCAUCUUCGUCAGCUUAUUCGUUUGCAGACUAGAAAAAUGGCGAACAGCCAUCAAAAUACUGAUUAAAAUUACACAUCUUUCACUGGACACACAAAUGGGUGCGCGCCGCAAAAUUCAGCCCUAAUGGUGAAUGUGUGCGAACGUUCACCGUGGGAAGAGGUAUGGGACGACAGCUGACAUGGCAUCUAGACGGUAAUCUGGUGGCUUUAGCAUUAAGUUGUAACCGCUUUAAGAUAUUUGACAUAGCUGAAGGCGAGCUAAUACAGUGCAUUCGUCGCCGGAGAAUGAUGUUGCAUUUCACCCAAGUGGAAAUUUCUUGGUGACUGGCGGCGAUGACGAUACAAUAAGAUUGCUUGAUUUAUUAGAAGGUCGACCAAUUUAUACACGUUGCUCGUUUGGAAAUCUAAUUUGCAUACAUUUGAUGCCAAUAGCUCUCGCAACAAGCAAGCCAGCUCUCAAAGAGUCCAAAUUGAUUUUAGUCAUGCAACAGCUCCACAUAACUCCGACAUAGACACACACACCAGUUGCUGCAGUACCAAAAAGCUGUGAUGACAGUAUUUUAA